rnacentral:lncRNA from 1 species
UCGGGAUUUAAAGUGCCAAGCAAGUGAAAGGAAACCUCCCACCCCAAGUGCCGUUCUUGAGAGUAAUGGAAGAAUUGUCAAAUCAUGGCCAGGACAAUGUAACCGGGGAUCUCAGGAGUGAAGAAAAACAGGUCAAAGAAGAGUCAUCGUCCUUUAAGUGCCAAGAAGAGGCCUUCUACCCUCUGGUGCAAGAAGACUUUGAACAGUAAGGCAGCUUCCUUUUCCUUCUGAACAGUUACUGCUUGAUUGCAUGAACAUUGAUUUUACUCUG